rnacentral:rRNA from 1 species
AAUGAACGCUGGCGGCGUGCCUAAUACAUGCAAGUCGAGCGAACGGACGAGAAGCUUGCUUCUCUGAUGUUAGCGGCGGACGGGUGAGUAACACGUGGAUAACCUACCUAUAAGACUGGGAUAACUUCGGGAAACCGUAGCUAAUACCGGAUAAUAUUUUGAACCGCAUGGUUCAAAAGUGAAAGACGGUCUUGCUGUCACUUAUAGAUGGAUCCGCGCUGCAUUAGCUAGUUGGUAAGGUAACGGCUUACCAAGGCAACGAUGCAUAGCCGACCUGAGAGGGUGAUCGGCCACACUGGAACUGAGACACGGUCCAGACUCCUACGGGAGGCAGCAGUAGGGAAUCUUCCGCAAUGGGCGAAAGCCUGACGGAGCAACGCCGCGUGAGUGAUGAAGGUCUUCGGAUCGUAAAACUCUGUUAUUAGGGAAGAACAUAUGUGUAAGUGACUGUGCACAUCUUGACGGUACCUAAUCAGAAAGCCACGGCUAACUACGUG